CCCACUUAACUUAGUGGUCACAUGUAUGUAACAAUGCUUUAUAAAUAAACGGGUGGUCUCCAUCCUUCCUUUUUAUCAAAAGAAAGAAAAAAAAAAGGCUCCCUUAGCUUAUGAGAAGUCCAAUUUAUAUAUAUAUAAUUUUUAUGAUUUCGUCAUCAUGUGUCUUGGGUGCAACUACACUGAGUUCAGCUUUGUUUGGAAUUAAUAGAAUAAAGAUUCAUCU
rnacentral:lncRNA from 1 species